rnacentral:rRNA from 1 species
UACAGAGAGUGCGAGCGUUAGUCGGAAUUAUUGGGCGUAAAGGGUGUGUAGGUGGCUAAAUAAGUUGGAUGUGAAAGCCCUAGGCUUAACCUAGGAAUUGCGUUUAAUACUAUUUGGCUAGAGUAUUGUAGGGGAAAGUAGAAUUUCCGGUGUAGCGGUGAAAUGCGUAGAUAUCGGAAGGAAUACCAGAGGCGAAGGCGACUUUCUGGACAAUUACUGACACUGAAACACGAAAGCGUGGGGAGCAAACAGGAUUAGAUACCCUGGUAGUCCACGCCGUAAACGAUGAAAACUUGCUGUCAGAUAUGUAAAUAUGUUUGGUGGCGUAGCUAACGCGUUAAGUUUUCCGCCUGGGGAGUACGAUCGCAAGGUUA